CCCAAAAGAAAGGAAGUUAUUUUAAAAUCAUGAGCUAAAGUAUAUUUUGGGAGUAAUAGUAGGCACCGAUGUGGGGAUAAAUGUUCAUAUUAAAUCAAGUCCCCAUGUAAACCAUGUACCCAUCAUGGGGUUUAACGGGUCAUAUUUUUCAUAAGAUCACAUAAGUUAAGCUAGUGUAUCCACUAAGUUAAGGAGGUCUAUAUGAAGACAAAGUAUAGAAUAAUUCUUGCUGUGUGGGCAAGACACUGUAUCACCACUUAGGCUCAUAGUGGUGGUUUACGGUUAAAGAAUCUUCCACAUAAACUAUAUUACUUUCAUUAUAAGUAAAGUUGAGUUUGUUAUUGCAUUAUCUUUAACGAACUACGUUGUUUACACUGUUUUACAAGUUUUAUAUACAUCUAUUGUACGUGUCUUUAUUGCUUUAUAUUGAGUUAAUAUUUCAUGAGUUGAGCGGAGACAAGGUAAGUUCUUCUUAAUCCUUUCAAGAUUUAAGUUGUUGUUAACAUUCCAACUCUCAUACUCAUACAUUCAAUGUACUGACGCCACUUGUCCUGCAUCAUCUUAUGAUGCAAACAUAGGUAACCAGGAUCAGCAUCAUCCAGCGCCUCGUUGAUCUAGUGAGCAUUCUAGAAAGUGAUAACUAUGCCUCCAUGAAGAGCAGAAAGAGGUCAUCUUGCUAGGAGGAAUGUUGAACCUCAGGAACAGGAGUUACCUAAUGCUCCUGAAGUGCAACCUCAGGGGGAGGUUACAAAUGCUGAGUUCCGUGAGGCUAUCCGGAUGCUAAGCCAAGUGGUGACAAACCAAGUUGAGCAACAAAGGGGAUCUCGACAAGAAGGUCUUGACACUUCAAGCAUUCGUAGACAGUGGCGAGCCUCCUUGCAUUUUGGAGUACACUUUUAUUCGCUCUCUAGUAUUUCAUUUAUAGAAUAUUAUGGGGCCUGUAUGAACUUGCAUCUUAGUAUUGUAGAGGUUUCAUAGAAAAUCAGAUAGUUAGUUUGAGUCUCA